AGCCUGCGGCUUAAUUUGCCUAACAUGGGAAAACUCAUUCGGGCCGGACACCGCAAGGAUUGACAGAUUGAAAGCCCUUUCUCGAUUUGAUGGUUGGUGGGGUACAUGGCUGUUCCGCACGGGCCCU
rnacentral:ncRNA from 1 species